rnacentral:rRNA from 1 species
UAUUCCUAUGCCAGUGUGCACUCAAAGCCGACGCUUUGGGGCCGCCUCUGCCGGGCUAUCGCCCGGUCGAACAGUCGAAAUUCGUGGAAGCCGUAAUGGCACGAAGCGAACGAAUGGCUGGAUAGCGCAAGAGAGGCCAACCUAGAGCCCGUGAAAAGGCGAGCACACUGUCCGUACCGAGAUCCGACACAGGUACUCGUGGCGGCGAAAGCCAAGGUCUGUCGGGAGCAACCGACGUUAGGGAAUUCGGCAAGUUAGUCCCGUACGUUCGCAAUAAGGGAUGCCUGCCUCGCGAAGAGGCAGGUCGCAGUGACUCGGACGCUCCGACUGUCUAGUAACAACAUAGGUGACCGCAAAUCCGCAAGGACUCGUACGGUCACUGAAUCCUGCCCAGUGCAGGUAUCUGAACACCCCGUACAAGGGGACGAAGGACCUGUUAACGGCGGGGGUAACUAUGACCCUCUUAAGGUAGCGUAGUACCUUGCCGCUUCAGUAGCGGCUUGCAUGAAUGGAUCAACGAGAGCGUCACUGUCCCAACGUUGGGCCCGGUGAACUGUACGUUCCAGUGCGGAGUCUGGAGACCCCCAAGGGGAAGCGAAGACCCUAUAGAGCUUUACUGCAGGCUGUCACUGAGACGUGGUCGCCAUUGUGCAGCAUAGGUAGGAGCCGCUACACAGGUACCCGCGCUAGCGGGCCACCGAGGCAUCAUUGAAAUACUACCCGAUGGUGACUGCGACUCUCACUCCUGGCGGAGGACACUGGUAGCCGGGCAGUUUGACUGGGGCGGUACGCGCCUGAAAAGAUAUCGGGCGCGCCCCAAGAUUUCCUCACCC